rnacentral:rRNA from 1 species
UACGUAGGGGGGCAAGCGUUGUCCGGAAUCAUUGGGUGUAAAGAGCGUGUAGGCGGUCCGAUAAGUCGGCUGUGAAAGUCAAAGGGCUCAACCCUUGAAUGCCGGCCGAUACUGUCGGGCUAGAGUCCGGAAGAGGCGAGUGGAAUUCCUGGUGUAGCGGUGAAAUGCGCAGAGUAUCAGGAGGAACACCAAUGGCGAAGGCAGCUCGCUGGGACGGUACUGACGCUGAGACGCGAAAGCGUGGGGAGCAAACAGG